rnacentral:rRNA from 1 species
AUGCAGGCCAAGUGGCUAGCAAUUGCGAUAGUGCAUACUGAUAAGGGAUUCAGUCCUUCAGCUCUAUAUGCGGAUAUGAGGUCUGCUUGGAACUCUGCGAAGGAGGCGCGCUGGCGUAUGAUCGAUGCCAAUCUGUUCACGGUGCAGUUUGGCUGCCUCGGCGAUUGGAAUACAACGAUGACAAACGGGCCUUGGCUGUUCAGGAAUCAAGCAGUGAUUCUGAAAGAGUAUGAUGGGUACACUAACCCUAGGACAGUGGUGCUAGACAAGGUGGCUGUUUGGGCAAGGAUCCUUGGAUUACCUGACAACUAUCUUUAUGAACCAGUGAUCAAAGGUAUGUGUCGAAAGAUGGGAGUGAUUUCAGAGGUGCAAAUUAAGUUACGUGUUGGGUAUGUAUGUGCGUUUGUGCGUGUAAGAGUAAACCUGGACAUCAAUAAGAAGCUAGAACGCUUUGUCUCGAUAACUAGAGAAGGGAAGAAAGAUUGGUAUAUGGUCAAAUACGAAAAGAUGCCUGUUUUCUGUAAUCAUUGUGGCUUAUUGGGGCACUGGUUCGAGGAGUGUGGAACGGGUGAACACGAUGUGGCAAAGUUUGAAUGGGGAGAGUUCAUCUUGGCCGACAAAUGGAGAGGUAGAGGAGGCAGCCGUGGCCCGGGCAGAGGUGCAGGCAGAGGGAGAGGAGGAACAACUUCUGGCAGAGGUUUUGGGAGAGGAGCGCCGAUGCGUUCGGAGACACAGAUUGCAGAUGGUUUUCGCAGACUAGCUGGAGGUAUAAUAGCGUGUAUAACUCUGAGCUAA